UGAAGAGGAGCGAAAUAUCCAGUGGGA
rnacentral:piRNA from 1 species